AGCAGCCGCGGUAAUUCCAGCUCCAAUAGCGUAUAUUAAAGUUGUUGCAGUUAAAAAGCUCGUAGUUGAAUUUCGGGGUCAGUAGGUUGGUCGUGCCACCGGUACGUACUGGUCUCACUGAUUCCUCCUUCCUGAAGAACCGUAAUGCCAUUAAUUUGGUGUUGCGGGGAAACAGGACUGUUACUUUGAAAAAAUUAGAGUGUUUAAAGCAGGCUAACGCUUGAAUACAUUAGCAUGGAAUAAUGAAAUAGGACGAUCGAUCCUAUUUUGUUGGUUUCUAGGAUUGACGUAAUGAUUAAUAGGGAUAGUUGGGGGCAUUAGUAUUCAAUUGUCAGAGGUGAAAUUCUUGGAUUUAUUGAAGACUAACUACUGCGAAAGCAUUUGCCAAGGAUGUUUUCAUUAAUCAAGAACGAAAGUUAGGGGAUCGAAGACGAUCAGAUACCGUCGUAGUCUUAACCAUAAACUAUGCCGACUAGGGAUCGGAUGAUGUUAAUUUUAUAAUGACUCAUUUGGCGCCUUA
rnacentral:rRNA from 1 species